GCUGCAGGCCGGGAGGUCGAGAGAGACUUUGCCUCCGUGUAUUCCCGCCUGGUGCUCUGUAAGACCUUCAGGUUGGAUGAAGAUGGCAAGGUCCUGACCCCGGAGGAGCUGCUCUACCGGGCUGUGCAGUCUGUGAACGUGACCCACGAUGCAGUGCACGCACAAAUGGAUGUGAAGCUCCGCUCACUGAUCUGCGUGGGGCUCAAGUGAGUGUGGAAAAGGGGUUGGAGGAGGCCCUGGAGUGGGGGGACCCAGCCCAGCAUCAGGGGGGUCCUUACAGGGAACCCUAAAGGACAAAGAACCUCAGGGGCUCAGGUCCUUCCCCAAAGAGGGUGGUCUGGGAGCUGCUGAGAGACAGGUCGGAGGCUUCCACCAUGGCUGCAGCCAGAAGGGCCUGGAGCUGCCCCCUGCUCCCCACUCCUGGCCAUGUCCCCAGUGAGCAGGUGCUGCACCUGUGGCUGGAGGUGCUCUGCUCCAGCCUGCCCACAGUGGAGAAGUGGUACCAGCCCUGGUCCUUCCUGCGCAGCCCGGGCUGGGUCCAGAUCAAGUGUGAGCUCCGAGUCCUCUGCUGCUUUGCCUUCAGCCUCUCCCAGGACUGGGAGCUCCCUGCGAAGAGAGAGGUGGGUGGUGUGGGCCUCAUAGGGCCUCCACUGAUGGAGCUGCCCAAACUGUUUGCGGGGUGGCUAAGGUGGGAACCCGUAGUGCUGGUGUCAGCGGUUAGGAACCACCCCGGCCAUGCCCAAGGCCUGUGAGGUGAGGGGCUGCCCUGUUUGCAGGCACAGCAGCCCCUGAAGGAGGGCGUCCGGGACAUGCUGGUGAAGCACCACCUCUUCAGCUGGGAUGUGGACGGGUGACCCCCUACUCCUCAG
rnacentral:sRNA from 1 species